rnacentral:rRNA from 1 species
GACGAAGGGGGCUAGCGUUGCUCGGAAUCACUGGGCGUAAAGGGUGCGUAGGCGGCUCUUUAAGUCAGGGGUGAAAUCCUGGAGCUCAACUCCAGAACUGCCUUUGAUACUGAAGAUCUUGAGUCCGGGAGAGGUGAGUGGAACUGCGAGUGUAGAGGUGAAAUUCGUAGAUAUUCGCAAGAACACCAGUGGCGAAGGCGGCUCACUGGCCCGGUACUGACGCUGAGGCACGAAAGCGUGGGGAGCAAACAGG